rnacentral:misc_RNA from 1 species
AACGCACAUUGCGCCCAUUAGUAUUCUAGUGGGCAUGCCUGUUCGAGCGUCAUUUCAACCCUUAAGCCUAGCUUAGUAUUGGGAAUCGACUUUACUGUCGUUCCUCAAAUUCAACGGCGGAUUUAUAGUAAUCUCUGAACGUAGUAAUUUCUUUUCUCGUUUUUGAAAUACUAUAAACCUCAGCCGCUAAACCCCCAAUUUCUUAUGGUUGACCUCGGAUCAGGUAGGAAUACCCGCUGAACUUAA